UAUUAUCUAGAGUCCCGACUUAAUGGGUUUGCUCUCUUUCGGCCUACAAGCUAAAUUGGGAGGAUUUUGUCCAUAAGGAUAAGCAUGUGUUAGUGGUCCCGUGCAUUUCUUAUGGGACCAAGCCAUUAUGAAUGUAGUUGUUAUGGAAUUUGUGCCCACAUUGCUCGACCGCGGGGGAAAAAACUUUGAGGUGAACUUAGCCGUUCAAAAAAGAAAUCCGUUGAAUUCAAAAAUUGAAAAAUAAAUGCAAUAUUUUAAGAAAAAUUAAUUUUGCAACUCCUUUUUAGUGAAAACAGUGCUAAAAAUAAUAUUUAACUGCUUUUGGCAAACAAAUUCUAUCAUUUUUGUGAAAAGUUUAGCUAAAAACAGAAUAAAUCAUGCUGAAAGUAUAGGCGCACCCUAGAACUGCAAUGCGAACGUGGCGCAAUUUGAGUUGUACCCAGUUUUGACAGAUCAAAAGCGAGGUAAGUAUUUUGACAGCGAAAAUUAAAUUAAAUAAAUCAAAACAAAUAAAUCAAAACAAAAGUGAAAAUUAAUAAAACAAAGUUGUUAAUAGUACUGCUGAUUAAAUGUUUUAUCUAUAUUAUAUAAAUAAUUUUAUACAAAAUGAUCCAGAGUCAACUAAUUCAUCGAUCUAAAAAGUGACUUCAUCAUAACCGGAGAAGUAUUUCCCUACGUAACUUGGCUCUAGCUGAUAGAGGAUUCUUUCAGGAUCUCUUUCCAGACACCGCUGGGUAAAAAACAAUCAAUCUACGCCGGCUUUGAUCAAGCUGCCGAUAGUCUAACGUUGGCAAUCUCCUGGUAAUAAUUGGACUUCUGCAUGGCAUCGAGAAAGACACAAUCCAAUUGCGUUAGUUGGAAUACGGGUCUUAUCGGUAAUCCUAGUGCAAAACAAAACGAAAUAAACUAGGGUUGUCGGUCAUUGAGACAAAUUAGAGUCGUCAACAAUGCAUCAUGGUAAGAAAAUCUGAAUGUAGAGGACUUUGUUGCCAAUAUGGGAAGACACUUUCGAAUGGGAUUACUGCUCUCAAUAUCGUCAGUCCAUUCGCGACUUAAUAGUGCAGCUAGAAUGAGCUUUACCGAAUUCACAUAACAAAUUUUCCAGGGUUAUGACUUGUUGCAUUUGCUUCAGAAAUACAAUUGUCGCUUUCAAAUGGGAGGCAGUGAACAAAUGGAUAACUUAAUGACUGGCCACGAACUAUCAGCAGAGUAGAAAAAAAGAAAUCAGUAUUUGGAUUGGCACUUCCAAUAGUGAUCAACGAAGGAGAAGACAAGUUCGGAAAAUAUGCUGGCAAUGGUAUUUGGCUGGACGAAGAAAAAAGUCGCCAUUUGUUCUUUAUCAGUUCUUUUUGAAAAUGCCAGAUUCUGAAGUCGAGAAGCUUCUCAAGUUGUUCACUUUUAUCCCACAAAGAAGAAAUUGCAUUUCUCAUUGAAGAACACAAAAAAUUACCAGAGAAGAGAAAAGCACAAAGAAGAUGUGACGCUUCAAGUCUAGGGAGAGGUAUGUCUAAAACAAGACGAAAAAGUCACAGCGGCGCUCUAUAAGGGAAAUGUUGAAGGACUAGGUGAACUGAAUUACAACGAAAUCCGAUCGUUGAGAUUUUUUCAGAGCCUGGACUAUCCAUUCUUGAUCUGGCACUAAAAGCUAAAUGUUUUACAACUGAGACUGAUGCGAUCAGAAUCAUCACAACUGGAGGGUUCUAUAUCAAUCAAAAGUAAAUGUAGUUUAUGUGUUCCGUUCCCAUUUUCAUAUGUUUUGUAUUUUAUUUAUUUAUUACAUCAAUUAGAGUUAAGAGUAUACUCAAAUAGACUAAUGAAUAUGACAAGUUUUAUUUAAAAUAUUAUAUUAUAAACUAAGAAUGUAAAGUUAAAAAAAAUAAACUAAGCAUACAUAUA